rnacentral:tRNA from 1 species
AAAAUUAUAGUUUAUACAAAAUAUUUAAUUUGCAUUUAAAAGAAACACAAGUUAAUUUUA